AGGAUUAACGCUGGCGGCGUGCCUAACACAUGCAAGUCGAACGAGGUAGCAAUACCUAGUGGCAGACGGGUGAGUAACGCGUGGUCAACCUACCCUCGAGUGGGGGAUAACUAGCCGAAAGGCUAGCUAAUACCGCAUAAUACCGUAGCCGGCAUCGGCAUCGGUUGAAAGCAGCAAUGCACUCGGGGACGGGACCGCGUCCGAUUAGUUAGUUGGUGGGGUAACGGCCUACCAAGACUCCGAUCGGUAGCUGGUUUGAGAGAACGACCAGCCACACUGGGACUGAGAACGGCCCAGACUCCUACGGGAGGCAGCAGUGAGGAAUUUUCCGCAAUGGGCGAAAGCCUGACGGAGCGACGCCGCGUGUGGGAAGAAGGCCUUCGGGUCGUAAACCACUGUCGAAGGGGAAAUACUGAUGGUACCCUUGGAGGAAGCCCCGGCUAACUACGUGCCAGCAGCCG
rnacentral:rRNA from 1 species